AGAGUUUGAUCCUGGCUCAGAACGAACGCUGGCGGCAUGCCUAACACAUGCAAGUCGAACGAAGGCUUCGGCCUUAGUGGCGCACGGGUGAGUAACGCGUGGGAAUCUGCCUAUCAGUGGGGAAUAACGACGGGAAACUGUCGCUAAUACCGCAUACGCCCUUAGGGGGAAAGAUUUAUCGCUGAUAGAUGAGCCCGCGU
rnacentral:rRNA from 1 species